rnacentral:rRNA from 1 species
AGAGUUUGAUCAUGGCUCAGAUUGAACGCUGGCGGCACGCCUAACACAUGCAAGUCGAGCGGUAACAUGGGUAGUAGUAAUACUAUUUGAUGACGAGCGGCGGACGGGUGAGUAACACGUAGGAACUUGCCCAGAAGAGGGGGAUAACCAAGGGAAACUUUGGCUAAAACCGCAUAAUACUCGAGAGAGGAAAGCUUCUG